ensembl:processed_transcript BC006965 cDNA sequence BC006965
GGGGACCCGGGACGUCCGAGUGUACUGGCUUUCCUGGCACCUCAGACACACCUGGAAAGAUGUUUCCAGAAUGGUUAGGUGCUAAGUGCCAUUUGACUGAGUGCACAGAUGGUUCCCAACUGAGCUGCAUGGGUCGGGAGAGACAGUGGAAACUGAUGUGGUCGUCGGAGACAAUGGCACUUCACAGCCUUCCUAUCAGGACUGAGGACCCCGCUGUCCCCUGUUUGUUUUGAGAGGAUGGCUCACUAACCUGAAAGUUGUUGCUUAGAACGGGCAUCUUCUCAUCACUGCCUCCCCGGCUCUGGGAUUGCAAAGAUGUUCGCUUUACCUGUUUUAAUCUCUCAGGUUACAGAAGUAUGGCCACUGGUUCAUGUAUUCAACAGUUCAGGGGAGCUGUCACCACCGAAGGAAGGAGGAUAGUACUGACAGGGCUGAUGGUAAUGAUGACAUCUAAUGUACAUGGAGCAGCUCCAUCUGCCAGACACUACCUCACACUUCAAGUGCAUCCUCCCAGAAGACUGAGUACUGGGAGAUUCCGAGAGCCAAAUCAAAAGCUGCCUCCCACGUGGUGCUUAAGGGAGCCCUGAAGAAGAGCAAAGGAACUGUGAUUCCCUAAGCUCAGGGAGUGGUCAAUAAGUCUCCUCUUUGCUGGCCCGCUGGCAUGGGCUUGUAAUCUCAGCUACUUAUGAGUUGAGGCAGAAGGAUAAGAAGUUCAAGGCCAGUCUUGUCAACUUAGCAAAACUGUCUCAAAUUUUUGAAAAAGCGAAGCAGAGUUGGGAAUGUCAGGUAAGGAUAGAAUGCUUACCCAGCAUGCACCAGGUCACAGAUUCAGUCCCUAGAACUGACAAGAAAAGUGAUCCCCUCUUUAAAAGGAACUAUUUUCUGACUACCCUGGAAAUGGAUGGUUCUAGAAGAGUUAGAUACUCACCCUGAAAUUUGUGGGAAAUCUCAGAUUUGGAGUCUUUGUAGUUAACCACGUCAGGUAUAGUGUCCCCAACUGUGAUGGCAGAUGGGGACCUCACACUGCCCCCAACCUCAUGUUCUUUCUCCCUUAGGAAAUUUUUGGGGUCUAAAACUGCAUCAGGUAUGAGAGAUAACUCCCCUCUCUCUCCUCCUUUGAGACCAGGCUUGGUACCAUUGUGUGCAGACUUGAGGCAGGGUGCUUAAAGUCCUCCCUCCCUCAUCUCUCCUCGUCUAACCUAAGGGAUAAAGAGCUUGCUUUCAAAUGUUAUUCACGCUGGGACAAUGGGCAAGAGAACACUAAUGUUUUGGGACACAUGAAAUAAAAGGUAAUUUAUAUUU